GGGAGUUUAGUAUAAUAGUAGUACGUUUCAUUUUUCUAUCAACUGAAAAAGAAAAAAGGUAUCGGGUUCAAAUCCCAUAGCUCCCA
rnacentral:tRNA from 1 species